rnacentral:rRNA from 1 species
UCGGGAAUUUUGGGCAAUGGGCGAAAGCCUGACCCAGCAACGCCGCGUGAGGGAUGAAGUAUUUCGGUAUGUAAACCUCGAAAGAAUGGGAAGAAUAAAUGACGGUACCAUUUAUAAGCUCCGGCUAACUACGUGCCAGCAGCCGCGGUAAUACGUAGGGAGCAAGCGUUGUUCGGAUUUACUGGGCGUAAAGGGCGCGUAGGCGGCGCGGUAAGUCACUUGUGAAAUCUCUGAGCUUAACUCAGAACGGCCAAGUGAUACUGCUGUGCUAGAGUGCGGAAGAGNAAACCGGAAUUCUUGGUGUAGCGGUGAAAUGCUUAGAUAUCCAGAGGAACACCUGAGGCGAAGGCGGGUUGCUGGGCCGACACUGACGCUGAUGCGCGAAAGCCAGGGGAGCAAACG